GCGGAAGUGGUGGAAUUGGCAGACUCGCUAGAUUCAGGUUCUAGUGCACAUCACGUGCGUGGGGGUUCAAGUCCCCCCUUCCGCACCA
rnacentral:tRNA from 1 species